CCACAGUUUUGGAAGGUGUGCUGAGGCACAGGGGGCACCACCACUGAAAAAUUACAUUUUUCUGACUAUUUUCACUUGCUUUUGUCCAGCGUGGCCUAUUAACAUUGUGGCAUUGGUCUUUUCUCUAAUGAUAGUGUUUUUCUGAAAAGUCUCAAAGCAGUUAUGAUGCAGAAGACUAUGAAGGAGCUCAGCGGUUGGGGAGAAAGGCUCUUCACAUGGGAAUCGCUUCCCUAGUCAUUGGCCUUGUGAUCAUAACGGUCUUCUGUGUUGUACACUUCACCACGAAUGCAAUCUGAUAGUGGAGAAUGCAGUUUGACAGGAAGACUCUGUAAAUUGGUGGUGAUCAUUUCCAGUGAACGCCAGAAGACACUGUGAGCUACAGCCAGAACUUGGCGACACUAUGGUGGCACCAUGAGCUUGAACCAUCCCAGGUUUACAAGUAAUCAAUAUUUUCAAAUGGAAUGUGUCUGAUUUGCUCAAAGCAUGGCCAAGUAUCCAAACUACAGAAAAGCUUUCACUUAAAGUCACUUCAUAUUCAUACCAUCUCAAAAUGAUGUUGUUUAUUUCUGCAGGCAGUACAACUGCAUUUGUACAUCUGUAUUUGAUGAGUAUCAUGACACAUCAAGUAUUGUAAAUGUGUAGUUUAGUGGUGUACAUUGUAUUUGUCCUAAAGCAUAAAAGGAUGCUUGCACCCAAAUAGUUGAUGCUUUUACAGAGAGAAAGAGGAAAAAAAUACAAUAAAUAAAACUUGUGUUGUAUGGGUGAAUGUAAAAUUACAGGAAGUAUGAUCAU